CGUCUACAUCACGUUGAAAUACAAGUUCCCGCACGAUCACCGAAGUUAAGCAACGUCGAACCUGAUAGGUACCUAGAUGAGUGACCGCUUAGGAAUGCCAAGUGCUGUAC